rnacentral:rRNA from 1 species
AGACCCGAAACCCGGUGAUCUAGCCAUGGGCAGGUUGAAGGUUGGGUAACACUAACUGGAGGACCGAACCGACUAAUGUUGAAAAAUUAGCGGAUGACCUGUGGCUGGGGGUGAAAGGCCAAUCAAACCGGGAGAUAGCUGGUUCUCCCCGAAAGCUAUUUAGGUAGCGCCUCGUGAAUUCAUCUCCGGGGGUAGAGCACUGUUUCGGCUAGGGGGCCAUCCCGGCUUACCAACCCGAUGCAAACUGCGAAUACCGGAGAAUGUUAUCACGGGAGACACACGGCGGGUGCUAACGUCCGUCGUGAAGAGGGAAACAACCCAGACCGCCAGCUAAGGUCCCAAAGUCAUGGUUAAGUGGGAAACGAUGUGGGAAGGCCCAGACAGCCAGGAUGUUGGCUUAGAAGCAGCCAUCAUUUAAAGAAAGCGUAAUAGCUCACUGGUCGAGUCGGCCUGCGCGGAAGAUGUAACGGGGCUAAACCAUGCACCGAAGCUGCGGCAGCGACGCUGAUGCGUUGUUGGGUAGGGGAGCGUUCUGUAAGCCUGCGAAGGUGGCCUGUGAGGGUUGCUGGAGGUAUCAGAAGUGCGAAUGCUGACAUAAGUAACGAUAA